rnacentral:rRNA from 1 species
UACGAGGGGGGCAAGCGUUGUUCGGAAUUAUUGGGCGUAAAGGGUGCGUAGGCGGUUUGGUAAGUCUUAUGUGAAAUCUACAGGCUCAACUUGUAGUCUGCAUGAGAAACUGCCGGGCUUGAGUAUGGCAGAGGGGGGUAGAAUUCCACGUGUAGCAGUGAAAUGCGUAGAGAUGUGGAGGAACACCGAUGGCGAAGGCAGCCCCCUGGGCUAACACUGACGCUCAUGCACGAAAGCGUGGGGAGCAAACAGG